rnacentral:rRNA from 1 species
ACAAGCAGUGGGAGCACCUUCGGGUGUGACUGCGUACCUUUUGUAUAAUGGGUCAGCGACUUAUAUUCUGUAGCAAGGUUAACCGUAUAGGGGAGCCGAAGGGAAACCGAGUCUUAACUGGGCGUUAAGUUGCAGGGUAUAGACCCGAAACCCGGUGAUCUAGCCAUGGGCAGGUUGAAGGUUGGGUAACACUAACUGGAGGACCGAACCGACUAAUGUUGAAAAAUUAGCGGAUGACUUGUGGCUGGGGGUGAAAGGCCAAUCAAACCGGGAGAUAGCUGGUUCUCCCCGAAAGCUAUUUAGGUAGCGCCUCGUGAACUCAUCUUCGGGGGUAGAGCACUGUUUCGGCUAGGGGGCCAUCCCGGCUUACCAACCCGAUGCAAACUACGAAUACCGAAGAAUGUUAUCACGGGAGACACACGGCGGGUGCUAACGUCCGUCGUGAAGAGGGAAACAACCCAGACCGCCAGCUAAGGUCCCAAAGUCAUGGUUAAGUGGGAAACGAUGUGGGAAGGCACAGACAGCCAGGAUGUUGGCUUAGAAGCAGCCAUCAUUUAAAGAAAGCGUAAUAGCUCACUGGUCGAGUCGGCCUGCGCGGAAGAUGUAACGGGGCUAAACCAUGCAC